UUUUUUUUUUUUUUUUUUUUUUUUUGGUCUUUCUGUCUUUUCUAGGGCCACACUUGUGGCAUAUGGAGCGGCCCAAGAAAUGGCAGAAAAGACAAAAAUAAAAAUAAAUAAAUAAAUAAAGUGUACAAUUCAAUGGCAUAUAGUACAUUCACAAUGUUUUGCAACCAAAAUUACUUCUAUCUAGUUCCAAAAUAUUUUUAUAACCCCAAAUGAAAACCAUACCCAUUAAGCAGUCAGUCUCCAAGCCCCAUACCCCCGGCAACCACUAAACUGAUUUAUGUCUCCAUGGAUUUACCUGUCCUGGAUGUUUCAUAUCAACAGACUGACAUAUGUGAUACUGUGUCCAGCUUUAUUCACUAAGCAUAAUAUUUGAGGUUUAUGCACUUUGAAGCACUUAUCAGUACUUCAUUUUUUUUGGCCACACCUUCGCCAUGCAAAAGUUCACACCUGCGCCAUGCAAAAGGUGCCAGGCCAGGAAUCAAACCCAAACUACAGCAGUGACGAUGACAGAUUAUUAACUGCUAGGCCACCAGAGAGCUCCAGUACUUCAUUUCUAUGACUGAAUGAAAUUUCAUUAUACUCAUAUUUUUGGUUAUCCAUUCAUCAGUUGAUUACAAUUGGGCUGUUUCUUCAUUUUUGAUAAUGUAAAUUGCUAUGUAAGUACUACUAUGAACAUUCAUGUACAAGUGUCUGUUUUCAGUUCUUUUGGGUACAUAUACAGGAAUGUAAUAUCUGGGUCCUAUCGUGAUUUUAGGUUUAACUGCUUGAGGUCACUGUUUUCCAUAGUAGCUGUACCCUUCUAAACUCCUACCAACAACAUACAAAUAUCCCAAUUUCUCCACAUCCUCGCCAACACUUGUUAUUUCUGUUUUCUGACUCAUUUCCAAAUGUCACACCCGGAACGCAACACAAUACCCUAGGUAUAGUCUGGAUGGUACAGAAUAUGUUAAUAAAGCUAACACUUUGCCUCUUCCAAACCUUCUCCCCCGAGUCAUCCAGCUGAUGAUUCUAUGAAGCCUUUCCUGAAGGCACAUUACAUUUUCUAUCCAUACGGAGUUCAUUACAAUAAUUAAAAUACCUAACUUGUUCGUAUUCAACCACAUCUCCCUCAUCCCUAAGACUAUGCAGCUGUUUUCUGAACCCCUUUCCUCAACCCCUUUACAGGGCUUCACAUCAAGCUCCAUUGAGUUAUCACAUUAGCCUUGGCCUACCAUGUCAGUCAGAAAUGUUUUCAAAAAUUAACCCCCAAAUUUCAUCCCAUCGAAAAACUUGACAAGCGUGGUGUCAGUGUUUUCAUUCACAUCAGGACAAAAAGAUGGACAAUGACUUUCAGCCUAUCACUGGAAAUGUUUCUCCAGUUUGUCAAUUCAUUACUCAUUAUCAGAGAUGCUACUCAACCAAUCAUCUAACUUCAUGGUCAUCCAGCCCACAGCUCUCCCUUGUCAACACAGAGAAAUGUUAUAAAGCAUCUGGCUGAAAUCCAGUUAUGCUGUACAUUCUGCAUUCUGUCAACCCACAGCCUAACAAUCUUAUCUAAGAAGAAGUAGGGUUACUCUAACAUAAUUAUCUUGAGCGAGCCCAUAUCCUUCCUUUAAAAAUGCAAUCAUGGUCAAUGUUUUUAGGUCUCAUUAACACAAUAAGCUCAGAUUAGAUCAUGUUGGGUUUCCACUUUUUGAAAUUUAAACAUUAAAAUAUAAUACAAUGAAAUAGCAAUAGGUAUCACUCAAGGCAACACAGGGAAGAUGUCUCAUAUGCUCUACGUCACAUUAUCAAGACAAAUGUGUCAUCAAUUUACUGUGAUUUACAAGUUUUUAAAAUCUACAAUCUCUCUUCAACCAUAAAAAAAGUUCAAUAAGGAAAAAAAAUAGGAAUUCCUGUCGUGGCUCAGUGGUUAACAAAUCCGACUAGGAACCAUGAGGUUGUGGGUUUGAUCCCUGGCCUCACUCAGUGGGUUAAGGAUCUGGCAUUGCCGUGAGCUGUGGUGUAGGUUGCAGACGUGGCUCAGAUCCCUCGUUGCUGUGGCUGUGGCACAGGCCAGUGGCUCCAACUCCGAUUAGACUCCUAGCCUGGGAAUCUCCAUAUGCCGCAGGAGCAGCCCUAGAAAAGACCAAAAAAAAAAAA
ensembl:lncRNA